CCAGUUGGCCGGGCAGCCGCGCUUUACCAAUGCCGAAAGGCGGUAGGGUGAGGAAAGUCCGGGCUCCACGGAAACACGGUGCCGGAUAACGUCCGGCGGGGGCGACCCUAGGGAAAGUGCCACAGAAAGGAAACCGCCCCGCUUGCUGUACCGCUUCGACAAAGCGGCAGAGCUAGCGGGGUAAGGGUGAAAGGGUGGGGUAAGAGCCCACCGCGCUUCUGGUAACAGCGGCGGCAAGGUAAACCCCACCGGGAGCAAGACCGAAUAGGGAUGACGCGGGUCCACGCGAAAGCGCGGGCUACAGCCUGUUUCCGGGCCAGUCAUCCGGGUGGGUUGCGUGAGGCGAUAUGCAAAUAUCGUCCCAGAUGAAUGGCUGCCACGUUCCGGUGCUUGCACCGGGGCCUUACAGAACCCGGCUUACAGGCCAACUGGCGUU
rfam:Rhizobium sp. CF080 ctg7, whole genome shotgun sequence.